rnacentral:rRNA from 1 species
AAGGGGAGCAAUCCCUGAGUAAAGUGGCGACCGGGUGAGUAACACGUGACUAACCUACCUUCGAGUGGGGGAUAACCUAGGGAAACCUGGGCUAAUACCGCAUAACAUCUUUGGAGUGGAAACUCUGGAGAUCAAAGGGGCAAUUCGCUUGAAGAGGGGGUCGCGGCUGAUUAGCUAGUUGGCGGGGUAAUGGCCCACCAAGGCUUUGAUCGGUAGCCGGCCUGAGAGGGCGCACGGCCACACUGGAACUGAAACACGGUCCAGACUCCUACGGGAGGCAGCAGUGGGGAAUUUUGCGCAAUGGGGGAAACCCUGACGCAGCAACGCCGCGUGGAGGAUGAAGUCCCUUGGG